AGUAUAAUUUAUAAAGAGGUGCAGCAUCAAGUUGACGAGGUGCAGCAUCAUAUAUAAUGAGGUGCAGCAUCAUGAUAACGAGUUGCAGCAUCAUGUAUAAUGAGGUGCAGCAUCAUAUAUAACGAGGUGCAGCAUCAUGAUAACGAGUUGCAGCAUCAUGUAUAAUGAGGUGCAGCAUCAAGUUAACGAGGUGUAGCAUCAUGUUAACGAGGUGCAGCAUCGUGUAUAACGAGGUCACUGUCUCCCUGAGUCUAAAUGUACUGCGUUCCGCUCAAGUAGAUCUUUGAAGGCUUUGAUAUAGCCCAAAGUAGGUGUUGACAUACUCUUGUCUUAAACGUUGUGUAUCUUAAUGACAGUGUCGUCUACGUAAUCUAAACUCAGGCUUUCAGAGUGGUUUCCAUAAUUGGUCGAGCCAAAUUACCCACCUGUUGACACAGGUCCUAACCAAUACCCCCACCAAUAGGUAUAUUUUAUAUGUGAUAAAACAACAUGUUAAGAGGUUAAUGUCGUACAAUUUCAUCAUUCUUUAUAAAACAAUAAUUCACAGUAUAUAAAUGAAAAAAAUAAACAUAGUUUGAUUUAGUUUAAUCUCGAAGACAAAGUAUGGAGACAAGAGUCUGUGAUUUGUAUUAUGGACAAUGCAGAACUGUAACAACUUGUGCGCAGCAUAACUGUUGUGAAUGGUCGCCAUCUAGUGGAUUUAAUGAGUUCUGCAGGUGAAACACUGGGAUUUUUUUCUUUUCUGAUGCGUUUUAAGGGAAAGAGAAUAAUACGUCUGACUCGCAGCUUUGUGAUGUUAGUCCGAUGCCACUCGGGACCUUAGGUCUGCAUUAUCUUGUCGUAUAAUACUCUAGGGCUAAGGCUAGCGGGUGGUGACCAGACAAGACUUCAGAGUAGACAACAAUGCUGUUUGUAUUUUAAAGAGUUAGCUGAGGGUGACUGUUAAAGGGUUUAUUUCAUGUUGUGUUGUUGGGUAGAUGUGGAGGAAAACACUGCCAGUGUGGCAGUCUCCCUCCCAUUGGAUAUCCCAGAACGCAAUGUGAGCGAGUGUUAAAACACUGCUGCUUGUCAAUUUAGUGUGAGAGGGGAUGACAGACCCAGAUUCAUACCAC
ensembl:lncRNA